rnacentral:rRNA from 1 species
AGAGGGGGCAAGCGUUGUUCGGAAUUACUGGGCGUAAAGGGCGCGUAGGCGGCCUUCUAAGUCGAACGUGAAAUCCCCGGGCUCAACCCGGGAACUGCGUCCGAUACUGGAAGGCUUGAAUCCGGGAGAGGGAUGCGGAAUUCCAGGUGUAGCGGUGAAAUGCGUAGAUAUCUGGAGGAACACCGGUGGCGAAGGCGGCAUCCUGGACCGGUAUUGACGCUGAGGCGCGAAAGCCAGGGGAGCAAACGGGAUUAGAUACCCCGGUAGUCCUGGCCCUAAACGAUGAAUGCUUGGUGUGGCGGGUAUCGAUCCCUGCCGUGCCGAAGCUAACGCAUUAAGCAUUCCGCCUGGGGAGUACGGUCGCAAGGCUG